UUCUUUUCCCCGUGUGUCCAAAACCCACCCAAAUCACAUCUCCUCUGUUUUUCUCUCCCUCCUGAUACCUCUCUCCUUCUCUCAUCAUUUUUUUUUUGUUCUCUCCGUUUCUCUAUCUCCCUCCCAACUUCUCUGGUUCCCGCUCCUCUCACUAGUUCUCUAUUCUUGGCUCUCUCUCUAUUUUCCCCUUCAAAGUCGCUGAUCUUCAUCCCUUUCAGUUGGGUCCGAUUGUGUUUGAUGUGGAGGUUCUAUUUGGUUUGACAGUGGUGGUUCAAUUGGGUUUGACGUGGUGGUUCAAUUGGGUGGGUUAUUGCAGAGCUGUUACAACAUGGGCCAUGAUUCAGAUGGUGGUUCCCAAGAUGGAAGGGAUGAAGGUAAGUUGGAUGUUUAACUCAAAAUGCAUUUUUUUGCUCGCUCUUUGUUAUGUUAAAAAAGGUUGAACUCAGAGUUGAAAGGGAUAAAAAAUUGCCUUGGACUAGAGCAGGGGGGUAACGACUUACUGGUACUGGCUGUUGAUCCUAGGGAAUUUUUUUUUUUUUUUUCUCAUUCCAAGUUCUAAGUUUUUCUUAGUUGUGUUUCUGUUCUUUUUAGCUGUAUGUAAACGGUCGUUAGUGCCUUUUAUUGAUUCAUUCAGUAAAGUAUUA